rnacentral:lncRNA from 1 species
UCCUUUACAAGCAAUAUGCCGCUAGAGCAAAUCAUUAUCAUUCUUUACACUCAUGUUGAUAAAAAUCAUAACAUGGAAUUCAAUUCAUUUUGCAUGUAUCACAAGAGCUAUGAAAACAUAAUAUGUGCACAACUAUGAAUUAUGUGACUGACAUGUACCACCCAUGUUCAUAUUUCAUAACUCAUAUCUUAGCAUGUAGUGUAAUCCCAGUAUUUUGUAGGCAUAACGGAAUAUAAAGCAUAUAUCAUCAUAUCUUGUGUAACUAGAGCAUGUCAGAUACACAUAUCGUUCUUAGCCUACAGUACAUGCAUAACAUGUUAAAUUUCAUGUAUGAUCCAUAAAGAUAAGGGCAGGCUACUUACAUACAUGAUUCACAACAAGAUUAAAACCAGUUACUUACUUUCUUCACAAAUCAUGUAUACAAUUCAAAUUGUAUGGAAAACACUGGUUCAUCUUAUAAAACGUAAUACACGAUCUACGAUAAGAUUAAGGUAGAUUACUUACCUCAAUUCGCUUUCCAAAUUGCUCAAGUCCAGGUGACAAAUCCUUAAUUACCUAAAACAACAUCAUAGGGUUUACAUUAUUCCCCAUUUAUUUAUUAUAAAAUCUUUUAGUUCAUCAUACUAUGAACUUACUUGCUUGGAUCCCAUCCAAGGAUCUAGCCAAGUCCAAUUUAUCCAAUUUAGAGCCUUUGGAGCUCAGUUUGAAACCAGAUUGGGCCCACAUGGGUUGAUUGGGUUUUU